AUUUGGGCAAGACCCAGAAAGAGGGGCCCUGUCUCUGAGCCCAUGGUUCAACAAGUAUCACAUAUCACAAGCACAAAAUAAAUUAUUAUAUUGAAGAACAAGAGAGUGCUUCUUUUGCUCAGGAUCCAGAGCUCGGCAUUGGUAACACAACUGGGAACCCUAAUCAUCUACCUUGUAACACCAACCAGGCCCCAGGAAAAUACUUCUCUACAUCUCGUGUCUGUGUCUAUGAAUCAAAAGGAAAUUGUACUCAAAUGCCAUGAAAUUUUGUGAGUUGUACUGCUGCCAACAUUGGAGAUAGACACCACCCUUCAAAAGUUUACAGGAGACAUUGAGGUUGGGAACAUAAAGGGCCUUCAUUAAACUCUUGCCUGGUGACUCCAAAGCCCAAGAAGGCAUCUAUGUCCUACUUUAGCCUCUGAACUGGCCCCGCUGGGCUGUUGGUUGGACAGAAGGACUCACAUGUGACCUGGCCCGGCAUGAGGACAGGGGCGCUGAGUGCUUGAGCUUUUCUCUGGCCAUUCCAGGGUGCUCAGACUCACCAGCUCCACAGACAUCAAGAAAUGAUAACAUCAAGGAGAAAACCCAGGUAGGGUUCCUUGAUGGAGGAACCCAGGAACCCAGGAACCCAAGAGCAACCAUCAGCACUUUUGCCUUGGAAGAAUUUGGCCAAUGAUGGAGAAGUCAAAAGGCAACUCAGCUUCCCCAAAAGGCAGUACAUGAGUAACUGCUGCCUGGCUGCCACACGCAUGCAGAGAACAUCAUUCCCAGCUGCAGGGUCAUUAUCCGUACUCAGGUUCAUGCUAAUGGAGGGAGUAGAGGUGAACACAGGCAGGAAUGACCUUUGCUAUUUCCCUUCUCUAGCUGAAAAGACACUGUCUUCUGGCUUCCCUACUGCUGUUAGUGACGUGAAACUACAAGUAUUUUUGAUCUGCACAUUCUCUGGACUUUGCUGGGUGAGGCAAAUCUCCAUCCUUUGAAGGUAGGCUGGAGUUUUGGAAACACCCGUAAGUCAUCAGGAACCAGGUGUGGCAAAUUUGAAACAUGAUCAAGCUGGGGGCAUGUUGCUUUUAGUCCAAACAUAAGAUGGCAAAAUAAUGAAGCUAAUUUUAGUGGGUGGGUUGUAAAAGAGCACUAAUGACAGUUCCAGUAGGUAGUUUGAAACUUGAAUUUGCCACAAGCACUAAUUUAGUAAUAAAGGAUCUCACAGGAGGCCA
rnacentral:lncRNA from 1 species